CCUACGGGGGGCAGCAGUGAGGAAUAUUGGUCAAUGGACGCAAGUCUGAACCAGCCAUGCCGCGUGCAGGAAGACGGCUCUAUGAGUUGUAAACUGCUUUUGUACGAGGGUAAACGCAGAUACGCGUAUCUGUCUGAAAAUAUCGUGCGAAUAAGGAUCGGCUAACUCCGUGCCAGCAGCCGCGGUAAUACGGAGGAUUCAAGCGUUAUCCGGAUUUAUUGGGUUUAAAGGGUGCGUAGGCGGUCGGAUAAGUUAGAGGUGAAAUCCCGAGGCUCAACUUCGGAAUUGCCUCUGAUACUGUUUGGCUAGAGAGUAGUUGAGGUAGGCGGAAUGUAUGGUGUAGCGGUGAAAUGCUUAGAGAUCAUACAGAACACCGAUUGCGAAGGCAGCUUACCAAGCUACUUCUGACGUUGAGGCACGAAAGCGUGGGGAGCAAACAGGAUUAGAUACCCGAGUAGUC
rnacentral:rRNA from 1 species